AACACACAUUACUCUCACCCUCUUAAUCUAUACAUAAACAGACACACAGACAACACCCUAGCCGACACCCCCUUUCUCUUCUCUUGCUCAAUCGCCGGCGACCAGGAGCCGGUCACCGGUGCCGGCCGUCGCACACCCCCCCCCGAUUGACAACGCGGAGCACCACCACCACUAUCCGGUGGUGGUGCGGUGACGAAAACAAGCAGACAGACACAGAGAGAUGGAAACGAGAGAUAGAGAGGGAGAUCAGAGAAGAUCGGAGGACGAGAAGAGGGGCCGGCGGAGCCGGUGUCGAGCUCCGGCGGCGGCAGCAGCGGUCACGAGACAGAAACUCCGGUGAGCGAUGUCCAGUUAUUCAUUUUUUUCCCCUCUUCUUUCUCUCUUUAUCUGGUCCGACCCAUUGUUUCAACAGGUUUCGGUUGUGCUUUUCGGUGAAUAAUGAUGAGGUACAUGUUCGGGUGAUGGUUUUACUCCCGGGUCAGAUUUGGGCUGCGGGUCAGUCAUGGUUCGGGUCACGGUUCGGGAUUUUGUUCAAUUUUGGUUCGGCUUUGUAGUAAAUCGGGUCAGAUUUGAGGUUCACAGACUUGAUUCAAGUCUCGGGUCAACCACGGGUCAACCAGGGGUCACGCAGUUCAGAUUUCGGGCUCGGGUUUUGGCUCGGGCGUGGUGCAACUCGGGUCGGUUCGUGUCAAGAAGUCAGCAGCAGUUCGGUUCGUGACUCGGGUUUUGGGACAAAUUUGCACCUCGGUCAGUCGGUUCAACUCAGAUCUGGGGUUCGAGUAGUCACAUCAGCAGGAUCGGGUCACGGUUCACGUCAGUUAUGUUUCGGGUUCACAUCGGGUCCGAUUCGGUUUGAGUUUCGGUUCAACAGUCAAACGGGUUUUGGUUCGAGAUCGAUCAAGCUCAGAUCGGGUUCAACACGUUCAGCAACUCAGUCAACACCCGAGUCAACUCGGUCAACAGCGAGUCAACCCAGUCAAAAUGGUCAAACUUGGUCAACGGUAGUCAGUCAAGACCCGGAAUGUCGUAAUUGCACGCUAGCGAGUUCAUGUUCUUGGAACGACAUCACGCAAUCAUACUAAGCUAGCUUUGCACAGGAAUGUCAAGGAAUGUCGUAAUUGCACGCUAGCGAGUUCAUGUUCUUGGAACGACAUCACGCAAUCAUACUAAGCUAGCUUUGCACAGGAAUGUCAAGGUGAG